CAGCCAAUAAACUGCUUUUACCUUUACCUCUUCUUUGCUUCCUCCGCUACUUUCACUGUCACAGUUCUAUCCUACUCUGUCUCCACCUCAAACGCAGAGAGUCCCCCUCUUCUCUCUCUACAAUCCAAACCCAAACUCGCCCUUUUCUUUUGUUUCUUUGUCAAUUCCAAUGUUGAUAUUUUCCCCAUCUCCUUCUCCUACCCAUCAAUUCUAACGCUACACAAGAAACGUUUUUGCUAUUUGGGUACCCUUCAAGUUUGGUGCUUUUGGCCGAGCAAUCAAGCAAAACUUUUGUUUCCUUUCUAAUAUUUGAUUUCAAGUGCAUGGCUCUUCACCCGACUGCCUUCUACUUUGGUGGUGUGGCUUUUAAUUCUCGUAAUUCCGUUGCUUUCAGACGUGGGAAUGUUGGAGCCUCUGGUUUCUCUUCUCCUCCUCUCGUUUCCAUUCCGCUAUCCAGUUUGCAAUGUAAAGCAUUUUCAGGUGAUGGGUUAAAUGAAACAAAAGACUCCUCCCNNNNNNNNNNNNGGAAAUGUUGAUUGAUUUUGUUCCAACCACCAAUGGGCUUUCAUUGGCUGAAGCACCUGCAUUUAAAAAGGCUCCAGGAGGUGCACCAGCAAAUGUUGCGGUUGGUAUUGCUCGUCUUGGUGGCACCUCAGCUUUUAUUGGAAAGGUUGGUGAAGAUGAAUUUGGAUACAUGCUUGCCAAUAUUUUAGAGGAGAAUAAUGUGAACAAUGAAGGGAUACGUUUUGAUCCUGGUGCACGAACUGCUUUAGCAUUUGUUACAUUGAAAAAUGAUGGAGAACGUGAAUUCAUGUUUUACCGUAAUCCAAGUGCUGAUAUGUUGCUUCAAGAAGAUGAACUUGAUUUUAAUUUGAUUAGGAAGGCAAAAAUAUUUCAUUAUGGCUCUAUAAGUCUUAUAACAGAACCAUGCAAGUCAGCUCACAUUGCAGCAGCAAAAGCAGCAAAGGAUGCUGGUGUCCUCCUGUCCUAUGAUCCUAACCUGAGGCUUCCACUGUGGUCAUCUGCUGAUAGUGCAAGAGAAGGCAUUCUGAGCAUUUGGGAACUUGCUGAUAUUAUCAAGAUAAGUGAAGAAGAGAUAUCUUUCUUAACUAAAGGGGAGGAUCCAUAUGAUGAUGCUGUUGUUAGGAAACUAUUCCAUCCAAAUCUUAAAAUGCUUCUUGUCACUGAGGGUGCAGAUGGUUGCAGGUAUUACACCAAAGAGUUCAAUGGGAGAGUCAGGGGCUUAAAGGUUGAUGCAGUGGAUACCACGGGUGCUGGGGAUGCUUUUGUGGCAGGAAUAUUAUCACAGCUAGCUGAGGAUCUGUCCUUGCUUAAGAAUGAGCACCGAUUAAGAGAUGCUCUUGCGUUUGCUAAUGCUUGCGGUGCAUUGACUGUGACGGAGAGAGGUGCAAUUCCAGCUUUGCCAACCAGAGAAGUUGUGCAGAAUGCCAUCCUGAAGUUUGUAGCAUAGGGUUUACACAAGAUGUCUACAACCCAGACUUAUGCCCAUUCUUUGGAUUAGUGAAUGGUGAUAAUGCUAGUGCUGGAUGCCAGCAUAGAAUCUAAUUUUCUUAAAUAAUUCAAACAUUUGCUAGUCUGUUCAUGCUGCUGCAAGUUUUUCCAUAAUUUAUUGAGUUCAAUUAUUUUGAUUCGGCAGGUUGUAUCAACCCCAUGCAUUUUACUGUUAUUAACAUAAGCAGUCAUGCUGAUAAGCAACA
rnacentral:misc_RNA from 1 species